rnacentral:rRNA from 1 species
GGGACCGCACAAGCAGCGGAGCGUGUGGUUUAAUUCGAUGCUACACGAAGAACCUUACCAGGGUUUGACAUGCAAGUGGUAGGAAACUGAGAAGGGACGACCCUUCGGGAGCUUGCACAGGUGCUGCAUGGCUGUCGUCAGCUCGUGUCGUGAGAUGUUCGGUUAAGUCCGCUAACGAGCGCAACCCUCACUGUGUGUUAUAUGUGUCACACGGGACUGCCGGUUUUAAGCCGGAGGAAGGUGGGGAUGACGUCAAGUCAGCAUGGCCUUUAUAUCCUGGGCUACACACACGCUACAAUGGUCGGUACAAUAGGUUGCCAAGCCGCGAGGCGGAGCCAAUCCAAAAAAGCCGGCCUCAGUUCAGAUUGUAGGCUGCAACUCGCCUGCAUGAAGAUGGAGUUGCUAGUAACCGCAGGUCAGCAAUACUGCGGUGAAUACGUUCCCGGGUCUU